rnacentral:rRNA from 1 species
AGCGAACGCUGGCGGCAGGCCUAACACAUGCAAGUCGAACGGAUCCUUCGGGAUUAGUGGCGGACGGGUGAGUAACACGUGGGAACGUGCCCUUUGGUUCGGAACAACUCAGGGAAACUUGAGCUAAUACCGGAUGUGCCCUUCGGGGAAAGAUUUAUCGCCAUUGGAGCGGCCCGCGUCUGAUUAGCUAGUUGGUGAGGUAAAGGCUCACCAAGGCGACGAUCAGUAGCUGGUCUGAGAGGAUGAUCCGCCACAUUGGGACUGAGACACGGCCCAAACUCCUACGGGAGGCAGCAGUGGGGAAUCUUGCGCAAUGGGCGAAAGCCUGACGCAGCCAUGCCGCGUGAAUGAUGAAGGUCUUAGGAUUGUAAAAUUCUUUCACCGGGGACGAUAAUGACGGUACCCGGAGAAGAAGCCCCGGCUAACUUCGUGCCAGCCGCCGCGGUAAUAC